rnacentral:rRNA from 1 species
AUUGAACGCUGGCGGCAUGCCUUACACAUGCAAGUCGAACGGCAGCAUGAUCUAGCUUGCUAGAUUGAUGGCGAGUGGCGAACGGGUGAGUAAUACAUCGGAACGUGCCCUGUAGUGGGGGAUAACUAGUCGAAAGAUUAGCUAAUACCGCAUACGACCUGAGGGUGAAAGUGGGGGACCGCAAGGCCUCAUGCUAUAGGAGCGGCCGAUGUCUGAUUAGCUAGUUGGUGAGGUAAAGGCUCACCAAGGCGACGAUCAGUAGCUGGUCUGAGAGGACGAUCAGCCACACUGGAACUGAGACACGGCCCAGACUCCUACGGGAGGCAGCAGUGGGGAAUUUUGGACAAUGGGCGAAAGCCUGAUCCAGCAAUGCCGCGUGUGUGAAGAAGGCCUUCGGGUUGUAAAGCACUUUUGUCCGGGAAGAAAUGGCUCUGGUUAAUACCUGGCGUCGAUGACGGUACCGGAAGAAUAAGCACCGGCUAACUACGUG